rnacentral:rRNA from 1 species
GACGAACGCUGGCGGCGUGCCUAACACAUGCAAGUCGAACGGGGGUAGCAAUACCUCAGUGGCGAACGGGUGCGUAACACGUGAAGAAUUUGUCUAACGGCGGGGGAUAGCCGGCCCAACGGCCGGGUAAUACCGCGUACGACCUCUGGAGGGCAUCCUCUGGUGGUGAAAGCCGCAAGGCGCCGAUAGAGAACUUCGCGGCCUAUCAGCUAGUUGGCGGGGUAAUGGCCCACCAAGGCGACGACGGGUAGCUGGUCCGAGAGGAUGACCAGCCACAUUGGGACUGAGACACGGCCCAGACUCCUACGGGAGGCAGCAGUGGGGAAUCUUGGACAAUGGGCGCAAGCCUGAUCCAGCCAUGCCGCGUGAGUGAAGAAGGCC